rnacentral:lncRNA from 1 species
AGAAGAAACCUGACCAAAAGAGAGCCGAGCAAGGAGAAAGAAAAAGAGAAGGAACAACCCUUGUGCUAUGAAUGUAAAAAAUUUAGACACUUCAAGGCAGACUAUCCAACUUUAAAGAAAUCAUUCAAAAGAAUCAAGAAGAAGGUCAUGGUAGCAACAUGGAGCGACAGUGACAAGUCUAGCUCUAAAGAGGAAAUCCAAAAUAAAGCAAACUUCUGUUUUAUGGCACU